GGGGAAGCUCUUUGUACCGGCCUAAGGAAGCUUCGAGUACAGAGAAUUUGCGACCCAGAGGCGAGGAGUCCUGCCAGAGAUGGAGUCUCCAGCCUACCCUCAAGACAGGACUCUGAAAGAAGAGCAAGAGGAGGCUGUUCGGAUCCAGGGAUUGGAGGAUGGCCCACCCAUAGAUAUGCAGAAAGUACUGAUUGGUUCCAGAGGCUCGUGGGUACCAGUCCUAUUUGAUGAGGUGGCCGUAUAUUUUUCGGAUGAGGAGUGGGAAGUUUUGACAGAGCAACAAAAAGCCCUCUACCGGGAAGUCAUGAGGAUGAAUUAUGAGAUUGUCCUGUCCCUGGAAAAUGAAGAAUCCGACUUUAACACUCCACAUUGGGCAAGCCCAGUGACUGCCACCUCCCCUUUCCCUCAACCUCAGCAAUUCAACAGCUUUUGGCAUCUGCCUCGGGACAUCGCUGAGCUGCCUGAAUGGAGUGAGGGGUACCCCUUCUACAUGGCCCUGGGCUUCCCAGGGUGUGACCUCUCAGCUGAUGACUUGGCUAGCAGGUUUCAGUUCAGUAGGGGCAUGCGCCGCAGCUACGAUGCUGGGUUCAAAUUGAUGGUGGUGGAGUAUGCUGAAAGCACCAACAACUGUCAGGCUGCCAAGCAGUUUGGGGUAUUGGAAAAAAAUGUUCGAGACUGGCGAAAAGUGAAGCCACAGCUCCAAAAUGCCCAUGCCAUGCGGCGGGCAUUCCGAGGCCCUAAGAAUGGAAGGUUUGCUCUGGUGGACCAGCGUGUUGCCGAGUAUGUCAGAUAUAUGCAGGCCAAAGGGGACCCCAUUACCAGGGAAGCAAUGCAGUUGAAAGCUCUUGAAAUUGCCCAGGAAAUGAACAUUCCAGAGAAAGGAUUCAAGGCAAGUCUGGGCUGGUGUAGAAGAAUGAUGAGAAGGUAUGACCUCUCUCUGAGGCAUAAAGUGCCGGUUCCCCAGCACCUGGCCGAGGACCUGACUGAGAAGCUCAUCACUUACCAGCAGAGCGUGCUGGCUCUGCGCCGGACGCAUGACUAUGAAGUAGCACAGAUGGGCAAUGCAGAUGAGACCCCCAUUUGCUUAGAAGUGCCCUCUAGAGUGACUGUAGACAAUCAGGGUGAAAAGCCUGUCCUGGUCAAGACACCAGGUAGGGAGAAAUUGAAGAUCACAGCCAUGCUGGGUGUCUUGGCUGAUGGGAGGAAGUUACCCCCAUACGUCAUUUUGAGGGGAACAUAUAUUCCCCCUGGGAAGUUCCCCAGUGGCAUGGAAAUCCGCUGCCACCGCUAUGGGUGGAUGACUGAGGACUUGAUGCAAGACUGGUUGGAAGUUGUGUGGAAACGGAGGACUGGAGCUGUGCCCAAACAACGAGGGAUGUUGAUCCUGAAUGGCUUCCGGUGUCAUGCCACCGACUCGGUAAAGAGUUCCAUGGAAAGCAUGAACACAGACAUGGUGAUCAUCCCAGGUGGUCUGACGUCACAGCUGCAGGUGUUGGAUAUGGUGGUCUACAAGCCUCUGAAUGACAGUGUCCGGGCCCAGUAUUACAACUGGCUUCUGGCGGGGAACCUGGCACUGAGCCCCACUGGAAAUGCUAAGAAGCCACCGCUGGGCCUCUUCCUGGAGUGGGUCAUGAUGGCAUGGAACAGCAUCUCAAGUGAAUCAAUUGUCCAGGGGUUCAGAAAGUGCCACAUCUCCAGCAACUUAGAGGAGGAAGAUGACGUUCUGUGGGAAAUUGAUAGUGAGCUCUCCAGAGAACCACCAAAAGAAUGUGAUCCUGAAAGUGUGGCAGUCCACUGAGGAAAGAGUUGAGGUAACUGGCCAGCAGAUCUCACCAUCACUGAUGCCCCGGUCAUGUCUAGCACUCACCCUUUUUUUGGUCACGAGUCUCUCUUUUCCAGUUCUGUUCAAAAAAAGCCUGCCAUGCCACAGUGUAGACAACAGGUCAUCAACAUUCUCUCUUUGGUAUUUGUUCUGGGGCCUGGAUCCAGGAACACCUCUCUAGUGGCAAAUGAAACUGAUAGAAGCACCUGGAAGAAAAAAAGCACUUGUAAGAAGAUGGCUGCAGAGGGCCCGAAAGGGGCAAUAGGCUCUGAACAUCUCAGGUCUGGACAGCAGCCUGAGCAUCUCAUUUCAAGACAACCCCACCCACCCUAUCCCAUCUGGUGUCAGCCAACAAGCUUAGAACAACAUUCUGUCCCGUUCCUCAUUUGGGAGCUGUCUCCUCUGCUCAUUAUAGAAGCCUGUAAACACAAAUGGACAAAGAUAUUUCCUGGAGAAGAGAAUGUUCAUCACCAAGAUGCGCCACGUCACCACAGCUCUCGUGUCUCUUCUUUGGAGCAGAAACCUCAAGUAUAAACCUUUGCAGACGCUCCAUUAGAGCCUGACUCCACACAGGUCAAGACUACAGAAAAGCUCUGGUAGAAAGCCAUCACUGCUGUACUGCUGUUCUUACACAUGUCACUGAGGGAAUGAGAUUAUUAACCACAAAAUUGAAACACUGGCUUGGUGCCGGAAGAUGGCUUUUCUAGAGGUAACCUAGGUUAGUAUGGAAGAUGAGAGUUUAAAAUAAAUGAUGCUGUUAGACUUACCUUCCUAAUCUGGUCGGCAGCUAGACCUUUUUAGGGUUGAUGACUCUACUUUCCGAACUAUUGAGGCAACCCUUGGUAUAUGAGCCUUUGCUCUUCAGGCUGCUUGCAGAAGUCUCUAAAUCAUCUGCUGUCUACACAGAACGAGGCCCACUGACUCAUACUUGGUUAAUUUCUUUAAUAUUUUAAUCUAAAGGGCAUGGGAGGGAUUGGGCCUUGAGCCACAGCUGCUUUCAGACUUCACAAAAAUAGAUAUGAGUCAUUGACUUUUUCCACAAUAGUAGUUUGCAUUCUUGUGUAAGUCAACUGUUAAGAAAAACAUUCCUUCAAAGCUAUCUAUGCUACAAAAAUUCUACCAGAACUUCAUAGACAAAGCCGUUGCUAGAUCUGUCAUUCAAAAUACUCCAUCUGCCCAACAGGUUGCUGUAACCACUUUUCCUCUUCCAUUCAGCUCGUGUGGACACUGUCCACUGUGCAUGGCAUCUUUACCAGUUUCUGCUCAGGUGCGCAUUUACCUGUUUGCUGUCCACUUUUCUGAUCUGUUUUAACCAGUUUGUCAGAGUUCCAAACACAUGAGAAUGACUUCUAAGAUCCGAAUGAACAGACAUCUUAAUUGUUUCUGAUUGGCUGCCUGUGCUGCCCUGUCAUCCCCACAUGACAGCUGUUACUCUCCAUCCCAUCAGGUUUUCCCCCCUUCCCUGUCCUCUUUCCCGACUUUCUUUCUCUUGCUUGGGAGCUUAAAGGAUGCCAUCUUGGGCUUUCCACAUAGAAGCCAGGUAUCUUAACAAAGUAGAAAAUCCCAUCAGCUGAGAUGCCUUACAGGUUGCAUAGCACUGGAACUUUCCUAGAGUGAUGGUUCUGCUGCCAGGGUCUUCUGGGAGUUCUCCUUCACUGGCUGAAGACGAUCUAUGCUGAACAGCCCCAGUACAGCUGUUUAGCAGAAUAACAGUUAACCAGAAAAUUACCAUAGCACACUGAGACUGCUACUCUCCACUAAAUAGGAGCUGAUCCCAGUAAUAAACUUUGAUAACAAAGACAA